rnacentral:rRNA from 1 species
AGAGUUCGAUCCUGGCUCAGAAUGAACGCUGGCGGCAUGGCUAAGACAUGCAAGUCGAACGGACCAUAUAAUUCGGGUAACCGAAAGUAUGGUUAGUGGCGAAAGGGUGAGGAAUAGAUAGGAACGUACCCUGUGCUCUGGGAUAGCGUCUGAAGCUUCGGCUUCUUCCGAAAGGGGCGGUAAUACCAGAUAAUGUCCUUCGGGACCAAAGAUUUAUCGGCAUUGGAGCGGCCUAUCUCCUAUCAGCUUGUUGGUGAGGUAACGGCUCACCAAGGCAACGACGGGUAGCGGGACUGAGAGGUUGGCCCGCCACAUCGGGACUGAGACACUGCCCGGACCUCCACGGAGGGCUGCAGUAACGGAUAUUGGGCAAUGGGCGAAAGCCUGACCCAGCAAUGCCGCGUGCAGGAUGAAGCCCCUAGGGGUGUAAACUGCUGUCAGGGGUCAGAAAGCUGGUUUCGGCCAGUUGAUCAACCCCAGAGGAAGUCACGGCUAACUUCGUGCCAGCAGCCGCGGUAAUACGAAGGUGGCAAGCGUUAUUCGGAAUCAUUGGGCUUAAAGGGCACGCAGGCGGAACAGUGUGUGUUGUGUGAAAUCCCCCGGCUUAACCGGGGAAUUGCACAGCAAACUGCUGUUCUUGAGGCAGGUAGGGGUGCAUGGAACUCUUGGUGGAGCGGUGGAAUGCGUAGAUAUCAAGAGGAACGCCAGAGGUGAAGACGGUGCACUGGGCCUGUCCUGACGCUGAGGUGCGAAAGCGUGGGGAGCGAACGGGAUUAGAUACCCCGGUAGUCCACGCCGUAAACGAUGUCUACUAGGUCGUGGGUGUUC